UGGGGAAUAUUGGACAAUGGGGGCAACCCUGAUCCAGCCAUGCCGCGUGAGUGAAGAAGGCCUUAGGGUUGUAAAGCUCUUUCACCUGCGACGAUGAUGACGGUAGCAGGGGAAGAAGCCCCGGCUAACUCCGUGCCAGCAGCCGCGGUAAUACGGAGGGGGCGAGCGUUGUUCGGAAUUACUGGGCGUAAAGGGCGCGCAGGCGGUUGGUCGCGUCAGAUGUGAAAGCCCCGGGCUCAACCUGGGAUGUGCAUUUGAUACGGGCUGACUAGAGAUCGGAAGAGGAGUGUGGAAUUCCCAGUGUAGAGGUGAAAUUCGUAGAUAUUGGGAGGAACACCAGUGGCGAAGGCGGCACUCUGGUCCGUAUCUGACGCUGAGGCGCGAAAGCGUGGGGAGCAAACAGGAUUAGAUACCCCUGUAGUCC
rnacentral:rRNA from 1 species